AAUAAGAUGCCUGACUAAAGGGCUAUUUUGAUAGAAUAGAUAAUGUAAUAUUUUACUCUUAUUA
rnacentral:tRNA from 1 species